GACGAACGCUGGCGGCGCGCCUAACACAUGCAAGUCGAACGGAGCUGAGAGAAGCUUGCUUUUCUUAGCUUAGUGGCGAACGGGUGAGUAACGCGUGAGUAACCUGCCCUGGAGUGGGGGACAACAGUUGGAAACGACUGCUAAUACCGCAUAAGCCCACGAUCCGGCAUCGGAUUGAGGGAAAAGGAUUUAUUCGCUUCAGGAUGGACUCGCGUCCAAUUAGCUAGUUGGUGAGGUAACGGCCCAGCAAGGCGACGAUUGGUAGCCGGACUGAGAGGUUGAACGGCCACAUUGGGACUGAGACACGGCCCAGACUCCUACGGGAGGCAGCAGUGGGGGAUAUUGCACAAUGAGGGAAACCCUGAUGCAGCGACGCCGCGUGGAGGAAGAAGGUUUUCGGAUUGUAAACUCCUGUCGUUAGGGACGAUAAUGACGGUACCUAACAAGAAAGCACCGGCUAACUACGUG
rnacentral:rRNA from 1 species